rnacentral:rRNA from 1 species
UCAAGUGAAGAAGCGCAUACGGUGGAUGCCUUGGCAGUCAGAGGCGAUGAAAGACGUGGUAGCCUGCGAAAAGCUUCGGGGAGUCGGCAAACAGACUGUGAUCCGGAGAUGUCUGAAUGGGGGAACCCAGCCAUCAUAAGAUGGUUAUCUUGUACUGAAUACAUAGGUGCAAGAGGCGAACCAGGGGAACUGAAACAUCUAAGUACCCUGAGGAAAAGAAAUCAACCGAGAUUCCCUUAGUAGUGGCGAGCGAACGGGGACCAGCCCUUAAGUUGUAUUGAGAUUAGCGGAACGUUCUGGAAAGGACGGCCAUAGUGGGUGAUAGCCCUGUACGCGAAAAUCCCUUUGCAAUGAAAUCGAGUAGGACGGGGCACGAGAAACCUUGUCUGAAUAUGGGGGGACCAUCCUCCAAGGCUAAAUACUACUGACUGACCGAUAGUGAACCAGUACCGUGAGGGAAAGGCGAAAAGAACCGCGGAGAGCGGAGUGAAAUAGAUCCUGAAACCGUAUGCGUACAAGCAGUGGGAGCCCACUUUGUUGGGUGACUGCGUACCUUUUGUAUAAUGGGUCAGCGACUUAUUUUCAGUGGCGAGCUUAACCGAAUAGGGGAGGCGUAGCGAAAGCGAGUCUUAAUAGGGCGUCUAGUCGCUGGGAAUAGACCCGAAACCGGGCGAUCUAUCCAUGGGCAGGUUGAAGGUUGGGUAACACUAACUGGAGGACCGAACCGACUACCGUUGAAAAGUUAGCGGAUGACCUGUGGAUCGGAGUGAAAGGCUAAUCAAGCUCGGAGAUAGCUGGUUCUCCUCGAAAGCUAUUUAGGUAGCGCCUCAUGUAUCACUGUAGGGGGUAGAGCACUGUUUCGGCUAGGGGGUCAUCCCGACUUACCAAACCGAUGCAAACUCCGAAUACCUACAAGUGCCGAGCAUGGGAGACACACGGCGGGUGCUAACGUCCGUCGUGAAAAGGGAAACAACCCAGACCGUCAGCUAAGGUCCCAAAGUCAUGGUUAAGUGGGAAACGAUGUGGGAAGGCUUAGACAGCUAGGAGGUUGGCUUAGAAGCAGCCACCCUUUAAAGAAAGCGUAAUAGCUCACUAGUCGAGUCGGCCUGCGCGGAAGAUGUAACGGGGCUCAAACCAUGCACCGAAGCUACGGGUAUCAUCUUUUGAUGAUGCGGUAGAGGAGCGUUCUGUAAGCCUGUGAAGGUGAGUUGAGAAGCUUGCUGGAGGUAUCAGAAGUGCGAAUGCUGACAUGAGUAACGACAAUGGGUGUGAAAAACACCCACGCCGAAAGACCAAGGUUUCCUGCGCAACGUUAAUCGACGCAGGGUUAGUCGGUCCCUAAGGCGAGGCUGAAAAGCGUAGUCGAUGGAAAACAGGUUAAUAUUCCUGUACUUCUGGUUAUUGCGAUGGAGGGACGGAGAAGGCUAGGCCAGCCUGGCGUUGGUAGUCCAGGUUUAAGGUGGUAGGCUGAGAUCUUAGGUAAAUCCGGGAUCUUAAGGCCGAGAGCUGAUGACGAGUGUUCUUUUAGAACAUGAAGUGGUUGAUGCCAUGCUUCCAAGAAAAGCUUCUAAGCUUCAGGUAACCAGGAACCGUACCCCAAACCGACACAGGUGGUUGGGUAGAGAAUACCAAGGCGCUUGAGAGAACUCGGGUGAAGGAACUAGGCAAAAUGGCACCGUAACUUCGGGAGAAGGUGCGCCGGUGGAGGUGAAGCAUUUACUGCGUAAGCCCCUGCCGGUCGAAGAUACCAGGCCGCUGCGACUGUUUAUUAAAAACACAGCACUCUGCAAACACGAAAGUGGACGUAUAGGGUGUGACGCCUGCCCGGUGCCGGAAGGUUAAUUGAUGGGGUUAGCGCAAGCGAAGCUCUUGAUCGAAGCCCCGGUAAACGGCGGCCGUAACUAUAACGGUCCUAAGGUAGCGAAAUUCCUUGUCGGGUAAGUUCCGACCUGCACGAAUGGCGUAACGAUGGCGGCGCUGUCUCCACCCGAGACUCAGUGAAAUUGAAAUCGCUGUGAAGAUGCAGUGUAUCCGCGGCUAGACGGAAAGACCCCGUGAACCUUUACUAUAGCUUUGCACUGGACUUUGAAUUUGCUUGUGUAGGAUAGGUGGGAGGCUUUGAAGCGUGGACGCCAGUCUGCGUGGAGCCAACCUUGAAAUACCACCCUGGCAACUUUGAGGUUCUAACUCAGGUCCGUUAUCCGGAUCGAGGACAGUGUAUGGUGGGUAGUUUGACUGGGGCGGUCUCCUCCUAAAGAGUAACGGAGGAGUACGAAGGUGCGCUCAGACCGGUCGGAAAUCGGUCGUAGAGUAUAAAGGCAAAAGCGCGCUUGACUGCGAGACAGACACGUCGAGCAGGUACGAAAGUAGGUCUUAGUGAUCCGGUGGUUCUGUAUGGAAGGGCCAUCGCUCAACGGAUAAAAGGUACUCCGGGGAUAACAGGCUGAUACCGCCCAAGAGUUCAUAUCGACGGCGGUGUUUGGCACCUCGAUGUCGGCUCAUCACAUCCUGGGGCUGAAGCCGGUCCCAAGGGUAUGGCUGUUCGCCAUUUAAAGUGGUACGCGAGCUGGGUUUAGAACGUCGUGAGACAGUUCGGUCCCUAUCUGCCGUGGACGUUUGAGAUUUGAGAGGGGCUGCUCCUAGUACGAGAGGACCGGAGUGGACGAACCUCUGGUGUUCCGGUUGUCACGCCAGUGGCAUUGCCGGGUAGCUAUGUUCGGAAAAGAUAACCGCUGAAAGCAUCUAAGCGGGAAACUUGCCUCAAGAUGAGAUCUCACUGGAACCUUGAGUUCCCUAAAGGGCCGUCGAAGACUACGACGUUGAUAGGUUGGGUGUGUAAGCGCUGUGAGGCGUUGAGCUAACCAAUACUAAUUGCCCGUGAGGCUUGACCAU